rnacentral:rRNA from 1 species
GACGUAGGGGCGAGCGUUGUCCGGAAUUACUGGGCGUAAAGAGCACGUAGGCGGGAACUUAAGUCAGGUGUGAAAGACCGUGGCUCAACCACGGGUAUGCAUUUGAAACUGGGUUUCUUGAGGGCAGGAGAGGAAAGCAGAAUUCCUGGUGUAGCGGUGAAAUGCGUAGAAAUCAGGAGGAAUACCAGUGGCGAAGGCGGCUUUCUGGACUGACCCUGACGCUGAGGAGCGAAAGCCAGGGUAGCAAACGGGAUUAGAUACUCGCGUAGUCCCUGA